AUUAGUGAGAAUCUUGUAUGAUAUGGAAAAAUUUAGUGAGGGUCUGCCAAAACAAACCCACUAAAAAAAGUUUCUGAAUCCACCACUGCAUAGAGCAAAACCCGACUCGUGAGAGAACCGACCCGACCCGAUACCGGAACAACAUGAAAUACAGGAACCAAACAUUGGACUUAUUAAUUCUCGGGUUCGGUCCUUUCUGAUAUCGGGUUCUCGGUUUUGUGGGAAUACCCGAGACUCCGCCUUUUCACUGAGAUACAAACCCAGUUCAAGUGCUACAGGUUCUGUACACUUCUUUGAACACUGAUGCACAACUAACAAAUUGGAAAACUAAUAAUGGCGACCCAUGGAGCGCGUCAUGGGAGAGAGAUGCCUUGUAAAAAUGGCUAGCUAUUGGGCAUUUGAAGAUGGUGCACGAUGCUUAUACAAGACCCCGAGACCGUACAACCAAUUUUUAGGUAUAACUUUUUCCUAUCAGAUUCAAAAGGCUCAACUUUAAGAGGUUUUUUUUUCUAAUAUAGUGCUGUUUUGAAAAACCUUUUCACAAGUAAUGCCAUGUUCAAAAAUAUUUCACAAAUUAUGCUAUCUCCUUUAUAAAUGGCGAUUUUUAUUGGGAAGUAGGGUGUGACAGGAAUGUUCACAGAAUGUGUAAGCUUUAAUCAUUGAAUAUGGUACAAAAUCCAAUCAUAAUGGCGAUUUCUACAUGUGUAGCCAUUCUAAAUGGCGAUUUCUGCAAAAGUAUGAUUGGAUUUUGUACCAUACUUUUGUAGAAAUCGCCAUUUAGAAUGGCUACACAUGCAGAAAUCGCCAUUAUGAUUGGAUUUUGUACCAUAUUCAAUGAUUAAAGCUUACACAUUCCCUGAACAUUCCUGCCACACCCUACUUCCCAAUAAAAAUCGCCAUUUAUAAUGAAGAUAGCAUUAUUUGUGAAAUAAUUUUGAACGUGGCAUUACUUGUGAAAAGGUUUUCCAAAACAGCACUAUAUUAGCAAAAAACUCCAACUUUAAACUCAUCUUUUAAGUGAGAAGGAUGCCAUUUGAAUUCAAGCCUUUUUCCAUGAUGUCUAGUUUUUUUUUCCAGCGAAUUUCUUGUCAUAAAGCCAACUUUACAUUUAUCAACAACAGAAAAAUCAUUGUCAGAAUUGCAUUUCUUAGGUGAUCUCAUCAUGAAAAGCAAAUCACUUGAAAAGGAAAAUGCAAAAGAAAGUUCAUAUUUCUUAGUAACAUGAAGUGUCAUUACACUUUUAUCAAUUGUGUUAUCUUACAUGUCAACUCUAAGGUUCUUUCCCUUUCAAUGGUAGUGACCUAUAUAGUAACCAACUAUGAGCCACAUUAAAGGCCUUUAUAGUACUACCCCAUUAGGCCGAAACUAGUAAAGAUGUUAAAACAGGUUAUGUUCGCGUGUCUCUUAGCAUCAACCUAAAAAUCGUGUUACAUGCGCGAACAUAGUUGAUUGGGACGCGAUUCAUUUAAUCUGAAAACUUGUAUUUUUUAUUUUGUGUAUUACAAAAUCAAAAAGCACUUCAUGGCUAUAAAA